rnacentral:lncRNA from 13 species
AUGAGAGGAAAUCCUCUUCCACGGCUUAAAAACCAAAAGGCGCUGCCCAGACUCCUCUGGCAGGGGUCUCCCAUCAUCCCCCGCGAGGGCUUCCCAUUAUGCCCCGCGGGACUUUCCCAUCAUCCACCGAGGCUCUUCCCACCCAAGCGGGAAGUUGGCGCAGGUGCCGCUCUGCAGGGAGGAGCGAGGGCCUUGCCCUCGGGAGAGUGGAGACCAGCAGUGGCCACCGUUCCUCUGCACGUCGUUUCCCCCGCUGGAGUGCAAUGGCGCGAUCUCGGCUCACCGCAUCCUCCACCUCACUGUCAGAUAAAAAGCAGGGACUUUCAACAAAAUGAGUUCAGUCUCGUCUUUACUAUAGAACGACGGGAUUGAUUAUUACAAUAAUUGCACUAUGGUAAAUUUACCAAUUUCGUAUAUAUGCGUAUUUAUAAACAAACAUAUUAGGGUGUAUAGAUAGAAAAAGUUCUAUCUACAUGUAGAAUCAAAAACAGUUUUUAAAAUAGAUUUGAUAGCAUCACCCAUUGCCAUUUAGGAGAUAGGGACAGACCCCGGAUUGGAGCCCUAGCUCCAUAUCCUUCUUUCUGAAGUCAGUCUACUCAUCUGUAAAAUGGGUAGUUGUGAGUUCAAAAUCGGAUAUUCAUAAUGAGAGUAGCACGGUGCCUAGCACACAGUGGCACUCAGUGGAUGGGAGCUAUUACUAUUAAUUGUACUGUUUUUAAUCUUGUCAUAGGUUAAGCAUCUUUUUUCUAUCAGUGUGUUUGGGGGGAAAUUUUAAUUCAAGUUUAUCUUAAUCAUUUUCAGUAGUGUUUUUUUUGUUGUUGUUGAAUUCAACUUCCAAGGAUGAUUCAGCCUGAUAGUUGCUGAUUACAAUCAGAAGUUAGUCUGUGAUGAACAGGUUCGUUUCAAUGCUCAUGUUUACUAGCAGUAAUACACAUAACAGUGGGGAGAUACUGAAGCUUCUAGAGAUAUAUCGACAGGUAGAUUCUUAAGUGUAAGUAGGUAUUUGAACUGUUUGUGGAUUAUGUCUUAUAAAAUUGGCAACCAUCAAGGAGGAAAACGCCAGAUAUGCACACACCCAUACCUGAGGUAUGGAGGUCAGUGGAAGGCUAUUGAAACACAGUUGUCAAGAGAGAAAUGUAAAUUAUUUGUCACCCAGGAAGUGAGAUUAUUCAGUGAUGCAUCAUAACCAGUAGGACAUACCAGUGGACACCAGUGUGGAAACAAGAGAUGUCAGAAAAAUUGGACAGACUUGAAUUUCAAGUUGGGUAGCAACUCACGGACAUAGCUCAGUGCUUGGCACACAGUAAGAGCUCAACCAGCACAGUUCAUCAAAUUGAAUGUCAGAUAUUUGCAACAGAGCUGGGCUUUAUUCAGCACUAGGAAAAGAGAAAAAAGUGAUAUGAAUUUUUUUCUUUUUCUUGUUUUUUUAUUCUUAAAUCAGACUCCAUUUUCCAAGGGCUCUCUCAGGAUAUCGGUUGCUUAACUACAUCGAAGUGUCUUCUGGGUCAUAUACUAGGGGAUUACAAGGAAAUGCGAAAGAAAUUACAGACAGAUUUGGAGGCAAAUUCUACAUUAAUCUACACUGUUAAAAAUAAAUUACCAGGGCCAGGCA